rnacentral:rRNA from 1 species
GACGAACGCUGGCGGCGUGCCUAAUACAUGCAAGUCGAGCGAAGCGGCGGAUGGGUGAGUAACGCGUGGGUAACCUGCCCUUAAGUCUGGGAUACCAUUUGGAAACAGAUGCUAAUACCGGAUACUAAAGGAUGGUCCUGCGAUGCAUUAGCUGGUUGGGAAGGUAACGGCUUACCAAGGCGAUGAUGCAGAGCCGGGUGAAGAGGCUGUUCGGCCACAUUGGGACUGAGACACGGCCCAGACGCCUACGGGAGGCAGCAGUAGGGAAUCUUCCACAAUGGACGAAAGUCUGAUGGAGCAACGCCGCGUGAGUGAAGAAGGUUUUCGGAUCGUAAAGCUCUGUUGUUGGUGAAGCGGUAAUCAACCAGAAAGUCACGGCUAACUACGUGCCAGCAGCCGCGGUAAUUC